rnacentral:lncRNA from 1 species
CAAAAAUUGGGUUGAUUAGCAUUGCAGUGAACUUAAAUUUGCCAAUGAUUUUAUAAUAUAUAUAUAAAAGAAAACAGACGUUCAAAAUCAUACACACAAUACACGGGGUAAGAUCACGUGAUAUUAUAGAACUAACUCUUCAUGUAGAGUUUUCAUUUAGUGUUCAAUCCCCGGAUGGAAUCACUUAAAAAAGCAUUAGUAACACUGUCGAGAAAAUCAGGAAUUUCACAACGGAUCUAUCUUUGUAAAUAUGAAAUAUAACCUCUGUAUAAAUUCUAGCUGAAAAAUAAUUUACAAUUAUUUAUUAUGGUUCGAAAAAUGAGUUAUGCCAUGUUUCUCGAAGGUGCCUAGCACUUUGGGUGAAGAGUAUCAAAUUCUUUAUUGUGAUUUUGAAAAACUUUUAAAAAUUGAUAGAAAAAUAUAAAAAAAAAGAAGCAAAAUAAGUCUAUACAUGUGCGUGUGUUUGCGAGUGUUUGCGUGCAUGUAUAUAUAUAUAUAUAUAUAUAUAUAUAUGUGUGUGUGUGUGUGUGUGUGUGUAUAUAUAUAAUUAUGUAUGGUAGCUGAAAACUGUACAAAGAUAACUUUUAUAUUAAUUAGACAGACUGUUAAUUAGUUGAAUUUGUAUGGAAAAAGUAGGGUUGAUUGGAUGAAACCCAUUGUGAAAUUGGUAAUUAUUUUUGUUUCUCUCAGAGGAACGGAAUAUAAAAGUUGACUUCCAUGACAUUUGAACACUGUCUUGUAAAUGUUCCCUGCAGUUGUGAAUUAAAAGUAUAAAUAAACAAUAUGAAAUAUUCCAAAGCUAAUCAGAGUAAAGAAAUGGUAAUGAAAGUAGACUAAAAGCAAAGUUGGCGAAGAAUGAAAAAGAAAAAAAUCGAGAAAAAAAAAAAGAGAAAAUUUGGCAUGAUAGAAGAAUACGACGGUGGUAUUGGCAAAUAUCCAAACAUGAAAAUUGAUAAUAAAAACAAUUAAAAAAUUAAUAAAAUAUUCCAGAUUGUAAAUAUUACAUUUAGAAUAAUUUUGUUAAAUUCUUUAGUCUGUUGAUUCUAUAGAUGCUUAAAUAUCCGUCAAUUGUGCUUUGUUUGGAGAAGAAUAAAAUGUUUGAACUCUAUGAAGAACACAAGAAUCUAAAGACUAACGUUUGUCAGAAAAAAAAAAACAUUCAAUAUGUACACAAUCAUAUACAUAUACAUUUUUACAAAUCCAGAAGAUUAUAUACAUUUCAUAUACAUACAUGGUUAUGUAUAAAAUAUACACAUAUACGAAUAGAGAUUGAAUCUGUAUAAACAAAAAAAAUAACGAUCCUGAAAUUCGAAUCACUCGUAACUGGGUUUUUUUUUUUUUACCUGCUUCUGCAUCAAUGCAUGUAUGAUUUUUUUUUUGUUCAUCUAUAUGAGUACCUGCCAAAAACAAUAGGUUGUAAUAAAUGUAUAUAAAUAUAUAAAUAUAAUAUGUA